GAGGGUGUAGCUCAGUGGUAGAAUGUGUGCUUAGCAUACAUGAGGUCCUGGGUUCAACCCCCGGUACCUCCA
rnacentral:tRNA from 1 species